UGCCCAUUGGAAAACUGAAAGGCCGCGGUAUUAUGACCGUGCAAAGGUAGCAUAAUCAUUAGUUUUUUAAUUGAAGGCUAGAAUGAAUGGUUGGACAAGAAAUAAUCUGUCUUAAAUUAAUAUAUUGAAUUUAACUUUUAAGUGAAAAGGCUUAAAUGAUCUAAGGGGACGAUAAGACCCUAUAAAACUUUAUAUUUUAAGGUGGAAAAUAAUUUUAUUUUAAAAUUACUAUUUUAAAUUAUUUUGUUGGGGCGACAAGGAUAUAAGAAAGGAUAACUGUCUUUUAUUUUUACAAUAAUAUUUGAAUUAUUGAUCCUAAAAGGGAUUAAAGAUUAAGUUACUUUAGGGAUAACAGCGUAAUUUUCUUUGAGAGUUCUUAUCGACAAGAAAGUUUGCGACCUCGAUGUUGAAUUAAAGGUUCUUUAUAGAGUAGAGACUAUAAGAGAAGGUCUGUUCGACCUUUAAAAUUUUACAUGAUUUGAGUUCAGACCGGUGUAAG
rnacentral:rRNA from 1 species